rnacentral:rRNA from 1 species
GGGGAAUAUUGGGCAAUGGGCGCAGCCCUGAUGCAGCAACGCCGCGUGAGGGACAGAAGGCCUUACGGGUUGGAAAGCUCUUUUAGUAGGGAAGAAAACCUCUCUACGUAUAGAAGGCUGACGGGACCAGUACCAAUAAAAAAAGGCUAGCUUUACGCCAGGACCCGAGGCAAUACGGAGGGGGCGGGCGUUAUGCGGAAUUAUUGGUCUUAAAGGGUACGGAGCGGAAAUGAUAAGCUAAAGCUGAAAUCUUACAGCUUAACUGUAAAACUGACAUUGAUACUAUAGUUCUUGAAUACAAUUGAAGAGGGCGGAAUGUGUCAUGUAGCGGUGAAAUGCUUAGAUAUGACACAGAACACCGAUUGCGAAGGCAGCUCACUAAGUUGUUAUUGACGCUGAGGCACGAAAGCGUGGCGAGCGAACAGGAUUAGAUACCCUGGUAGUCCACGCCGUAAACGAUGAUUACUCGGUAUUGGCGAUACACUGUCAGUGCCCAAGCGAAAGUUUUAAGUAAUCCACCUGGGAAGUACGUCGGCAACGAUGAAACUCAAAGGAAUUGAC